UCAAAUAAUCCAAGGUUUACGGUGAAUACCUAGGCAUUCAGAGACGAAGAAGGGCGUGGCAACCGACGAAACACUUCGAGGAGCUGGAAACAAGCAUUGAAUCGGAGAUCCCCGAAUAGGGCAACCUGUAACGAACUACUUAUUGAAUUCAUAGAUAAGAAAGAGACAACCCGGUGAAUUGAAACAUCUUAGUAGCCGGAGGAAUAGAAAGCAAAAGCGAUUCCCAUAGUAGCGGCGAGCGAAGUGGGAACAGCCUAAACCAAGUAAGCUUUUUGCUUAAUUGGGGUCGUGGGAGGAUAUAGUAGACGAAGCAGUUGAUUCCUGCACCAUAGAUGGUGAUAGUCCAGUAGUCAAAACUAUCUUAUCCCAAGUAACAUGGGGCACGUGAAAUCCCGUGUGAAUCAACGAGGACCACCUCGUAAGGCUAAAUACUCCUGAAUGACCGAUAGCGAAACAGUACCGCGAGGGAAAGGUGAAAAAGAACCCCUUACGGGGAGUGAAAGAGCACAUGAAACCGUAAUCUGACAAGCUGUGGGAGAAGUAAUAACUUUGACCGCGUGCCUGUGGAAGAAUGAGCCGGCGACUUAUAGGAAGUGGCUUGGUUAAGGAAACAAAUCCGAAGCCAAAGCGAAAGCAAGUUUGAAAAGAGCGUUUUUGUCACUUCUUAUGGACCCGAACCCGGGUGAUCUAACCAUGACCAGGAUGAAAGUUGGGUAACACCAAGUGGAGGUCCGAACUCAUCGAUGUUGAAAAAUCGUGGGAUGAGUUGUGGUUAGGGGUGAAAUGCCAAUCGAACUCGGAGCUAGCUGGUUCUCCCCGAAAUGUGUUGAGGCGCAGCGAUUGACGAAAUGUAGUACGGCUUAGGGGUAAAGCACUGUUUCGGUGCGGGCUGCGAAAGCGGUACCAAAUCGUGGCAAACUAAGAAUACUAAGCUUGUAUCCCGUCAAUCAGUGAGACAGUGGGGGAUAAGCUCCAUUGUCAAGAGGGAAACAGCCCAGAUCACCAGUUAAGGCCCCAAAAUGACAGCUAAGUGGCAAAGGAGGUGAGAGUGCAUAAACAACCAGGAGGUGUGCUUAGAAGCAGCCACCCUUUAAAGAGUGCGUAAUAGCUCACUGGUGGAGCGCUCUCGCGCCGAAAAUGUAUGGGACUAAGUUGUCUGCCGAAACUGUGGGAUAUUAUAUUUUGUGAAUAUACAAAAAGUAAUAUCGGUAGGGGAGCGUUCUGCUAUAGAUUGAAGCACAUAUGUAAAUCGGUGUGGACGAAGCAGAAGUGAGAAUGUCGGCUUGAGUAACGAAAACAUUGGUGAGAAUCCAAUGCCCCGAAAACCUAAGGUUUCCUUCACUAGGUUCGUCCAUGGAGGGUGAGUCAGAUCCUAAGGCUAGGCCGAAAGGCGUCGUCGAUGGAAAACAGGUCAACAUUCCUGUACUAAUAUAUACACUUGAACCGAGUGACGAAGGAGGCAAUCAUACACCAAAAUUGGAUUUGGUGAGAAACGUUCAAGAUGAUGAGAGACAGAAGAAAAACUGUUCUUGAGUUGAGUCGUAGUAUGUCUUUAUCUUUUAUAUUACUCUAGUAGUAUAGGAGUAAGGGUUAUGGCCACUGUCAUACUUCCAAGAAAAACUCGAACUUCAAAAAAUGGUGUAUAUAUUAUCUGUACCUGAAUCCGACACAGGUAGGUAGGUAGAGUAUACCUAGGGGCGCGAGAUAACUCUUUCUAAGGAACUCGGCAAAAUGGCCCCGUAACUUCGGGAGAAGGGGUGCCUCCGAAAGGAGGUCGCAGUGAGCAGGCCCAGGCGACUGUUUACCAAAAACACAGGUCUCCGCUAAGUCGUAAGACAAUGUAUGGGGGCUGACGCCUGCCCGGUGCUGGAAGGUGAAGGAAGUUGGUUAUGGAUCCUCGAGAUCCAGAAGCUGACGACCGAAGCCCCAGUGAACGGCGGCCGUAACUAUGACGGUCCUAAGGUAGCGAAAUUCCUUGUCUGGUAAAAACGAACUUGCCAGAAAAGCUUUAACGAUCUGGGUACUGUCUCGGAGAGAGACUCGGUGAAAUAGAAGUGUCCGUGAAGAUGCGGACUACUUACACCUGGACAGAAAGACCCUAUGAAGCUUUACUGUAGCCUGACAUUGGGUUUGGGUUCCUCUUGCGCAGUCUAGGUGGGAGGCUUUGAUAUUUUCCUUGCGGGGAAAGUGGAGCCGCUUUUGAGAGACCACUCUGGAAGAGCUAAAAUUCUAAUAGUAAUCCUUGAAUCAGGACACUUGACAGUGUCAGGCGGGCAGUUUGACUGGGGCGGUCACCUCCCAAAAAGUAACGGAGGUGUGCAAAGGUUCCCUCAAGCUGGACGGAAAUCAGCUGGAGAGUGUAAAGGCAUAAGGGAGCUUGACUGCAAGACCUACAAGUCGAGCAGGGGCGAAAGCCGGCCUUAGUGAUCCGACGGUACCGCGUGGAAGGGCCGUCGCUCAACGGAUAAAAGUUACUCUAGGGAUAACAGGCUGAUCUUCCCCAAGAGUCCACAUCGACGGGAAGGUUUGGCACCUCGAUGUCGGCUCAUCGCAACCUGGGGCGGUAGUACGUCCCAAGGGUUGGGCUGUUCGCCCAUGAAAGCGGUACGUGAGCUGGGUUCAGAACGUGUGAGACAGUUCGGUCCAUAUCCGGUGUAAGCGUUAGAGUAUUGAGAGGAGCCUUCCAUAGUACGAGAGGACCUGGAAGGACGCACCUCUGGUGUACCAGUUCUCCUGCCAAGGGGAUACGCUGGGUAGCCAUGUGCGGAGUGGAUAACUGCUGAAAGCAUCUAAGUAGGAAGCCCACCUCAAGAUGAGUACUCUCGGAAAGUUUUGUACUUUCGAUAGACCACAGCAAGACAAGCUGUUUGAUAGGUAUCAAGUGUAAGGUCAGUAAUGGCUUGAGCUGAGAUAUACUAAUAGGUCGACUGAGUUUGA
rnacentral:rRNA from 1 species